CCAGCCAGUGCCAGCCUGAGCCCGGGCAGGAGGUGCGGCUUGCCUGGCUGGGCACCUUCUCGGGCCCCAGCUCUGAUGAGAGAGGCCCGGUCCUGGUCCUCCCCAAGGAUGUCACCCUGCCCCAGAGCUGCCAUCCUUGGAGGCUCCCUGCCCUGGUGCCCUCUACCCCAUGCAGUGUGCCCAUGCACCCUGUGGACCUGGUCCUGGCCUAGCCAAGCUGGCUCCCUUCCUGCAGGGCCGCGUUCCUCUGCAGCCACAGCCCUGGCCAACCCCGACUCCAGCACGGCGCAGGUCCCUGUGGCUUCCGGCUGCCCUGUCCCUGCCCUGCGGGUCCCUUCCCUGUGUGGCCACCACUGCUCCUCCCAGGAGCCCUGAGUGCCAGACGCUUCCCACCAUUGGACAGGGCCACCCAGAGGACCUCGGGCACGGGAACCCUGGGCCCUGGUGCCAACACCCCCCCACCCCCCCAGCUCUCUGCUUCGGUCCUCAGGUCUCUGUGGAGAUGGCUGCCUCUACAGAGGGGUGUCCCCAGGCCCUGCAGCCCCUCCCUGUGCCCUGAGAUGGCUGUGUUAGUGGUGGUAGGAAUCCUGUGGGAGCAUUGCUCAGAGGGGCUCGUUCCAAAGCUGAGCACGGUGCCACACACAUGUAACCCUAGCACUGGGGAGGCUGAGGCAGGGGCAUUGCCGCAAGUUUGAUACCAGCCUGGUGUACAUAUUGAGACUCUGUUUCAAGAAACAAAACAGAAAACACCUGCUCCUGGGGCUGGGGGCGAAGGCCUCACCAUUUUAAAUCCAGCUCGAAUGUGGGUGAGGGUCCAGGGCUCCGGGUCAGGGCUGUGGUUGCAGGGACCUUGUCAUGCCCUGGUGCUCAACUCAUGGCAGUGCUCAGUCCAGGCCUGGCGAUGGUGCCAGCCAGCCACACCCUGGGCCCCUGCUGCACUGAGCCCCCCCCAGCCUUGGGGGAGCAGGCAGGGACCAGGAGCAGCUGGGCCGAGUGGCACGGGCGGCAAGGAGAUGUCAGGAGGCUGGACACUGUAGCGAUGCCCCUUUCACAAUGCCAGCAGCAGGGGUGGGCAGGCACCACACAUGCCUGUAACAUGGCUCUGGCGGGCACUUGGGUGGGGACCCACGGCUCUGCGUGUGACAUGCGUGGCUCUCAGUGGAAACCAUCAGGGCAGGACAGUGGCAUCCAGGACAGCGUAGGCAGCAGGUCCUGGAACGGGCGCCUCGGGUUGGCUGUCACAACAGCAUCAAAGUGCCGCCUGUGGGGUGCUGGCCUCUGUCCAGCGUCCACUGCAGGGUGCACAGGCCACCGCUCUCGGUGUCCAGGGAGGAGUCUGCAGCGUAGGCCUGGCACAGGCUGUGGCAGCCGUGCCCUGGUCUCAUUAAGCCAUUAGGAGGGGUAUCCAUGGAAACCGCGUGCUCAGGCACUCGGCAGAGAAGAGCAUUUAUUCUAUUAGCAGGGCUGGGUGCCAGGAGGCUUGGGCUCCUGCAGCGGCCGAGUCGGGGUUCUGGGAGAGCAAGCUGCCUGCUGGGGGCCACCACGCCCAGCCUCCACCUGCACGGUGGACGGCUCUGCAGCCUCUGCAGGUGGAGCAGCAUGACCACCGUCCCCAGCAACCCGGCCCUGGGCAUGUCUCCAGGGGAGCCGAGAGGGACACAGCUGUCCUUAUGCACAGGCUCCUCUGGGUGGGCUGUGUGGAUGCAGGCAGCUGCCAUCCAGUCCCCGUGGCACGAUGUCCCCGCCUCCUGCAGGGCCGGGCCCGCCCUAACAUCAGCCGCUCCUUCCGGGAGCUCGGGCUCCUGCCGGUGAGAAACACUGCGGAAAACAGGGUCGGCGGCCUUUCUGCAGGCACCAGGCACGCUGUCACAUGAGCCCAGACGGCACUGACUGCAGCUUCUGGGUGGCUUCUCCCAGCCCCACACAGGCAGAAGCACACAUGGGGUGAGCCUGCCCCUCCCAUCCAGCCCAGACUGCUGUGUGGCAAAGCGGGUCCCUGGACUACCUGGACCACUUACAUCUCCUCUUCAUUUCUGCGGUGGCUCUGAACCUCGUGUGGGAUAUGACUGGUCCCAGAUUUCCCUCUCCUGUGCUCACCCCUUUGAUUUAAUUUACUGUAAAGCACUGAGCAGCUUCUGCGCUGGGUGUGGGCAGGGAGCAUCCCCUCGCCCCCCUCACCGGCCUCCCUGGGGGGGCCUGGUGGCUUUCGGGGUGGCUUCCUGCAGGCCUACUUUGGAAGGUGGCCAGGCCUGUGCACACCUGGUCCCCUGCCUCACCAACAGACGACACCCGCAUGUGCACACGUGCCCUCAGUCUCCUCCUGGGACACAUCCCUGACAUCAUGGAGAAAACAAGCACAGGAUGGGACCCAGGCCCCCAGCAGGGCCCCAAGGUGGCCUGAGACCCAGGAAGAGGGGCCCAGCGCCCCCACUCGAGAGAGUCGCAGACAGAGCCCCCACGCUGCAUGCCAGCCAUCGGGAACCUGCCUGGCGGGACAAGGCCGCUCUCGCUGUGGGGUUUUCCUUUCCCUACUUUCGAAUGUUCUUUGUGUGUUAGGGACCUUCCCCUUCCACCUGAGUCACGGUUCCAAAUGUUUUCUCCCAGGUCAUUUGCCUUGCAGGCCUGCUUGUCUCUGUUCUUGUGAGGCUGUUUUUCAGGCGACUCCAUUUGUGUGUUCCUGUUUGCUUGUGCAGAUCUCUGGUGCCCCUGGAGUUUAUUCUUAUCCACGGCAUGUGGAAGGGGCCUCAGUUUACCUUUUUCCAGUCCUCUCUGGGCCUGGCCCGACAUGGAUGUAGGUGAGGGUCGGUGUGGCCCUGGGGACCGGGACGGCUCCUUGAUGCCACCCUAGUUCCCGGCAGCAGGUCUGAGCCCUGGUGCCCCCCUGUCCCAGGCCGUGUCUCCCUCUGUCACAGGCGCUGUCCUCCUCACACAGCCCUGCCAAGCGCUUCCUCCGAAGCCCUCCCUUAGCGAUCCUGUUUGUUUUUCCACAGGAUCUUUAGUGUCUAGCCCCGCUCUCUGUGGGAGCAAAGCUCAUUGUGAUUUUA